AGUGGGUGGGUGGGGGGUGGGGUCGGUCAUGUUUUAACACCUCAGGAAUCAAAUCUCAUCCUUUGUCAUCUCGUUGUAGGUAAGAGGGGGAAUUGCGCCAACAGACUCUCCCCCUGUGAGCUGAGUUCAGUGGACCAGUCCAGUACUCCCCCUCCCAGACAGCGCCAGUGGUCUGAACCGUGGCUGGCUAUUCACAACCUGGCUCAACUCAACAAGGUCUACCAGGAAGGAGGGAGGGAGAGGCUGGGGGAGGAAGGAGGAGAGGGAGAAAGGGGACCUGAUUGUCACGACUGUGACGUGGAACAGACGGUGAAGGCAAAACGAGGGAGCACGAAAGAAGAGAGAGAGAAUCGAUCUGCCCAUCACCACCGGAGGGAGAUCUCCCAAGCAGCCGCUCGACCUGCCCUUUCCCCGACAACGGAGCACCUUCCCCAGGUCUUUCAGAGCAGACUGACCCCUGAGACAAGCCUUGCCGCUGGACACUUCAGAGGAGAACUCCCCAGUGUCCAAAUAGCUUUACAGUGUAAAGGAGGAUCUAAUCUCAUUGAAGGUGACCCAAUGACACAGAGGGGCUUCUUGGACAGACUUCACCCCUACCCCCCAUCUCCUUGGCAGGGGGGUCGUAGGAACACCCUCCCGUCUUUGACUUCAGCUCCACCCCUUCUUCACCUGUCCCCCCCAUCUUAUGAGUCUCAUCUGCAAGUUCUGCCCCCUGCCCUACCUGUUACAGGUGUGGGGUGUCAGACUAAGCUCUCCUGCUCCUCCACUCCCCAUCUCGCUUGCUCUGUCCCCUCCCCUGCCUCAAAAUCAGUACUUAGACCUGGCUUUCUACCUCCUCUACCUCUCUCCUCCACUUCCAUUCCUGCUGUCCCCCUCCCCACCUCCUCCUUAGCCUACCCUCUCCCUCCCUCCAGUGAGAGAGCGAGGUCACCUCGUCGUCAUUCAAUCCAGCUGGAGCCGCUGAGCCAGAGGCCAGGAGCUGUCUCGGAGGGGCAGGAGUAG
rnacentral:lncRNA from 1 species